CAACAGCAAGUGCUCACUUCAUGUCUCUUCUCACAUUGUGAGGCAGAAGACGCCCAGAGAAGUCCAGUGACUUGGUCCACAUCACACAGCAACUCAGAGGCCGGACUGAGGCCCAAGCUCCCGCCUUCUGACUCCCUGUGUAGCUCAGCCCCCUCCCCAUCCGUCCACACCGUCUUUUCCAACACAUUCCUCUCAAUUUGGCAAUCACAGCGUGUUUAUUUAUAAAUUGGCUUGUUUGGAGCCUGAGAUUUGGCAUCGCUGAUUUUGGCUAGGAGGUGUUCAAAUUUUUCCUUUCUUUGUUUUGGUUUGCUAAACCAUGUUUUGUGAGCAAAAACACAAAGUAAUAAAAACACAACGAGGCUGCUAAAGUUGUCCGAAAGUAAAGCAUCCAGAAAUGUGA